rnacentral:rRNA from 1 species
ACGGCUACCUUGUUACGACUUAGCCCCAGUCACCGAUUUCGCUCUAGGGCGCGCCUCCCGGCGACGCACUUCAAGCGCCCUCGGCUCCCAUGGCUUGACGGGCGGUGUGUACAAAGCCCGGGAACGUAUUCACCGCGCCAUGGCUGAUGCGCGAUUACUAGCGAAUCCAGCUUCACGGAGUCGGGUUGCAGACUCCGAUCCGAACUGAGAGGGGCUUUCGGGUUCCGCUCGGCGUCGCCGCCUGGCUUCCCGCUGUACCCCCCAUUGUAACACGUGUGUCGCCCCGGACGUAAGGGCCGUGCUGAUUUGACGUCAUCCCCGCCUUCCUCGCGGCUUGCGCCGGCAGUCCGUGCAGAGUCCCCAGCCUUUCCUGCUGGCAACUGCACGCGGGGGUUGCGCUCGUUAUGGCACUUAAGCCGACACCUCACGGCACGAGCUGACGACAACCAUGCAGCACCUCGGAAGACGUCCCGAGGGAAAGGGGCGUCUCUGCCCCUGCCGUCUCCCGUU